rnacentral:rRNA from 1 species
GACGAACGCUGGCGGCGUGCUUAACACAUGCAAGUCGAACGGGAUCCAAAGGCUUUUUGUUUUUGGUGAGAGUGGCGAACGGGUGAGUAACACGUGAGUAACCUGCCCCCUUCUUUUGGAUAACCGCAUGAAAGUGUGGCUAAUACAGGAUAUUCCAGGCUGGUCGCAUGAUUGGUUUGGGAAAUGGUUUGGUCUGGUGGGGGAUGGGCUCGCGGCCUAUCAGCUUGUUGGUGGGGUGAUGGCCUACCAAGGCGGUGACGGGUAGCCGGCCUGAGAGGGUGGCGGGCAAACUGGGGAUGGGGAUAGGGCCCGGAUUCUUACGGGAGGCGGAAGUGGGGGUUUUUGCCCAAGGGGCGAAGGCCGAUGCCACCACCGCCGGGGGGGGGAUGAGGGCCUUGGGUUUUAAAACUUCUUUGGCGGGGUUGAAAGGCCAGGUUUGGGGGGUGUUGGAUUGAACUGGUAAAGAAGUACCGGCUAACUACGUG